rnacentral:lncRNA from 1 species
UUUCAUAGUCGCCAUCAUACAACGCAACAUCGGAGUUCCUGAGCAGUUACCUUUCACGAACUAGGUAGCCAUCGGACUCAGGUGACGUGCUUCUUUCGUUACCAUCGACCCCACCAUCACUUCCGUCACUCGUGUUCUCUGAUUCACGAACAGCCGCGACGACCCCCUUCUGGUUCAGUUAACUGCCAUCCUAACGAAACUUCUGAUUAAUAGCCAUGAGUUCGACCUCCGCAUCCAUCUUUCAGGUAAUAUGGGAUGAUAUGGGAUUUCAGUGAGGAGCGUUAGGAAGUUGCUGGCCGAGAUUAUUUAUUUCAGUAAUGUAAUAAAUGUAAUUAGGAUCUUUUAUUUAAUGUUAUGGAUUGGUGUUUAGUUUUGAUAUCCGUAAGAGUGACACGUCAGCCCUAGCGGGGUUCGAGUGUUACAUC